rnacentral:rRNA from 1 species
AACGAACGCUGGCGGCAUGCCUAACACAUGCAAGUCGAACGAGACCUUCGGGUCUAGUGGCGCACGGGUGCGUAACGCGUGGGAACCUGCCCUUAGGUUCGGAAUAACUCCCCGAAAGGGGUGCUAAUACCGGAUAAUGUCUUCGGACCAAAGAUUUAUCGCCUUAGGAUGGGCCCGCGUUGGAUUAGCUAGUUGGUAGGGUAAAAGCCUACCAAGGCGACGAUCCAUAGCUGGUCUGAGAGGAUGAUCAGCCACACUGGGACUGAGACACGGCCCAGACCCCUACGGGAGGCAGCAGUGGGGAAUAUUGGACAAUGGGCGAAAGCCUGAUCCAGCAAUGCCGCGUGAGUGAUGAAGGCCUUAGGGUUGUAAAGCUCUUUUACCCGGGAUGAUAAUGACAGUACCGGGAGAAUAAGCUCCGGCUAACUCCGUG